rnacentral:rRNA from 1 species
GAUGAACGCUGGCGGCGUGCCUAAUACAUGCAAGUCGAGCGAACGGACGAGAAGCUUGCUUCUCUGACGUUAGCGGCGGACGGGUGAGUAACACGUGGAUAACCUACCUAUAAGACUGGGAUAACUUCGGGAAACCGUAGCUAAUACCGGAUAAUAUUUUGAACCGCAUGGUUCAAAAGUGAAAGACGGUCUUGCUGUCACUUAUAGAUGGAUCCGCGCUGCAUUAGCUAGUUGGUAAGGUAACGGCUUACCAAGGCAACGAUGCGUAGCCGACCUGAGAGGGUGAUCGGCCACACUGGAACUGAGACACGGUCCUGACUCCUACGGGAGGCAGCAGUAGGGAAUCUUCCGCAAUGGGCGAAAGCCUGACGGAGCAACGCCGCGUGAGUGAUGAAGGUCUUCGGAUCGUAAAACUCUGUUAUUAGGGAAGAACAUAUGUGUAAGUAACUGUGCACAUCUUGACGGUACCUAAUCAGAAAGCCACGGCUAACUACGUG